UACGGGGGGGGCAAGCGUUGUUCGGAAUUACUGGGCGUAAAGGGCUCGUAGGCGGCCAACUAAGUCAGACGUGAAAUCCCUCGGCUUAACCGGGGAACUGCGUCUGAUACUGGAUGGCUUGAGAUUGGGAGAGGGAUGCGGAAUUCCAGGUGUAGCGGUGAAAUGCGUAGAUAUCUGGAGGAACACCGGUGGCGAAGGCGGCAUUCUGGACUGUAACUGACACUGAGGAACGAAAGCCAGGGGAGCAAACGGG
rnacentral:rRNA from 1 species